rnacentral:rRNA from 1 species
GCGCGNAGNUACAUNCAAUCAAGCGGAUGAGAAGAGCUUGCUCUUCGAUUCAGCGGCGGACGGGUGAGUAAUACCUAGGAAUCUGCCUGGUAGUGGGGGACAACGUUUCGAAAGGAACGCUAAUACCGCAUACGUCCUACGGGAGAAAGCAGGGGACCUUCGGGCCUUGCGCUAUCAGAUGAGCCUAGGUCGGAUUAGCUAGUUGGUGAGGUAAUGGCUCACCAAGGCUACGAUCCGUAACUGGUCUGAGAGGAUGAUCAGUCACACUGGAACUGAGACACGGUCCAGACUCCUACGGGAGGCAGCAGUGGGGAAUAUUGGACAAUGGGCGAAAGCCUGAUCCAGCCAUGCCGCGUGUGUGAAGAAGGUCUUCGGAUUGUAAAGCACUUUAAGUUGGGAGGAAGGGCAGUAAGCGAAUACCUUGCUGUUUUGACGUUACCGACAGAAUAAGCACCGGCUAACUCUGUGCCAGCAGCCGCGGUAAUACAGAGGGUGCAAGCGUUAAUCGGAAUUACUGGGCGUAAAGCGCGCGUAGGUGGUUCGUUAAGUUGGAUGUGAAAUCCCCGGGCUCAACCUGGGAACUGCAUCCAAAACUGGCGAGCUAGAGUAGGGCAGAGGGUGGUGGAAUUUCCUGUGUAGCGGUGAAAUGCGUAGAUAUAGGAAGGAACACCAGUGGCGAAGGCGACCACCUGGGCUCAUACUGACACUGAGGUGCGAAAGCGUGGGGAGCAAAACAGGAUUAGAUACCCUGGUAGUCCACGCCGUAAACGAUGUCAACUAGCCGUUGGGAAUCCUUGAGAUUUUAGUGGCGCAGCUAACGCAUUAAGUUGACCGCCUGGGGGAGUACGGCCGCAAGGUUUAAACUCAAAUGAAUUGACGGGGGGCCCCGCACAANNCGGUGGAACAUGUNG